rnacentral:piRNA from 1 species
UGCCAAGUAUAUGAGUGAGUGAUGGGAGG